AUUAACUUUGUAUAAUGAUUUCCCUUUGGGGCCGGUUCAUUAUAUAUGAUGCAACUAUUCAAUUUCAUGAGAUGAUGAUAAAAAGACUCUUUAUUGAUUAAAUUAAACUAAAGCAUUCUAAAAUUUAUGGGAUGCUUUGGCUCGUCACCACAAAUAUGCAAAAAUUUAAUCAUUUAUAUAUCUUUUCCUACAUAAGAUGCUUUGGCUCGUCUCAUGCAUAUAUCAUCCUUUUAUCAUGAAAAAUAUGAAUAAUUUAAACAAUUAUGUAUCAUCAUAAGAAAGCAUGUAAAUUGUUGAUUUAUGCAAUAAAUUUAUUACAUGGAGUAAUACAUAAUUGUCAAAGUAUUGUUCUGUAAUGAAACUUUAGCAAAGGGACCACAUAAAAAUAUUUUAGGACCCUUUUGAUAAUUCAACUUUCGGCUGGGGACCAUAUAUGAAUUUCAAAAGCCCCUUUUUCAGAAUAACAUAUUGUCAGGGGUUUAACUGUAAAAGGCCCAAUUUAAGCCAAAAGGAUUCGGGUUUCGGGUUGCGGGGCGAAGCCCAAUAACCCAAAACCUGUUAAUCCCUUCACCUU
rnacentral:lncRNA from 1 species